AGUGAACGCUGGCGGCAUGCCUAACACAUGCAAGUCGAACGGCAACACAGUAAGCUUUCGCUCUUACGGUUGGCGAGUGGCGGAUGGGUAAGGCAUACAUCGCAUUCUACUAUUUCGUGGAUGAUUACGUAAGACCACUUACGAUAAUACCGCAUACGUCCUACGGCUUAAAUCAGUGGAUCUUCGGACCUUUCGCGACUCAAUUAGCCGAGGUCGGAUUAGCUAGUUGGUGAGGUAAAGGCCCACCAAGGCGACGAUGCGUAGCUGGUCUGAGAGGAUGAUCAGCCACACUGGAACUGAGACACGGUCCAGACUCCUACGGGAGGCAGCAGUGGGGAAUAUUGGACAAUGGGCGCAAGCCUGAUCCAGCAAUGCCGCGUGAGUGAAGAAGGCCUUCGGGUUGUAAAGCCCUUUUGUUAGGGAAGAAAAGCUGCAGGUUAAUACCUGGAUGUCCUGACGGUACCUAAAGAAUAAGCACCGGCUAACUACGUG
rnacentral:rRNA from 1 species